rnacentral:lncRNA from 1 species
CACGCAAGGUCAGGCGUCCUGCUGGCGCCCUCUCGCCACCCUGCCCUCCCGUCAGAAGCCCGGCUCCUCGCCGGGGAAGGCCGGGUGCUGGCCCGCCGGGACCUGGGACUUGUGCCCCAUGGAGUGUCGGGAGUCUCUAGUGCCGCGCGUUCUACACCACAGGGCCAGGCUGUUUGCUCCCUAUCGGGCGCUGCCCCCAGCACCCUGUUGUUAUUAAGGACUCAUUUGCUUGGAGCGGCAUCAUUACAAGGGUGUGGGGUACUACAUAUACUCCCUAUUUUUCUAUUUUCGAGAGGCUGCAGGCGCAAUGCACGGUGGGGCCUAGUGCUAGCACAAGGAGCGGACGGGGGCCGGGCAGGGGCGGUGGGCGCCGGCCUCUUCUCGGUGCUGCUCGGUCAGGCUGUCCCGGCGCGGCGGCCUCGGGAGGCCCUGCCGUCCUUCACCCCUGGAGGCGGGCUGGGGGGCGGGUGCGGGGCGCUUCCCCUCCUCAGGGCCCUCAAACCGCAAGGGGGUUUCCGCUUCCCAGUCGAGAGUCGUCCUCUCCCAUCCCCGGCUGCAUCUCCAUUUACCCGUCGCCCAUUUCCUUUGCCCAUCCGGGCUCCUUGGCUCCACUGGGGUCUCCGUUCCCUUCUCCCGGCCCCCCCUCCAGGUCGCGGCUCCUUUGUCCAGGACUCCGCAGGGGCUUGACCCCAGGGCGUUGGUUUAGGCCGGAUCUGGGGUCCCUCGUCACGCCCAGGCUUCUUCCACUUCCGGUUUCUGGAGAACCGGGAAUCAAGCCCUGCGCGUUCCUCUUCUUCCUCCUUGGUGCUGAAAGCACGCUUCCUGUCUGCCAGGGCAUCAGUUCUGAAAGUGAGCUGAGAACAAGGAGUUUCUUUUUCUUCCCCAGAAGUUGCCUUUUGUAAGGACUAAGUCUGCGCCGGGGCUUGAUACAUGUUGCUACUCCUGGGAGUGUGAGACUGGGAAGUUGAUGGAAAUGUCAGCGUUAGCUUUAAUGGUGAGGCCAAAGGGAGGAUGGACCCAG